rnacentral:rRNA from 1 species
AAAGCAUGGGUAGCGAACAGGAUUAGAUACCCUGGUAGUCCAUGCCGUAAACGAUGAGUGCUAAGUGUUGGAGGGUUUCCGCCCUUCAGUGCUGCAGCUAACGCAUUAAGCACUCCGCCUGGGGAGUACGACCGCAAGGUUGAAACUCAAAGGAAUUGACGGGGGCCCGCACAAGCGGUGGAGCAUGUGGUUUAAUUCGAUGCUACGCGAAGAACCUUACCAGGUCUUGACAUCUUCUGCUAACCUAAGAGAUUAGGCGUUCCCUUCGGGGACGGAAUGACAGGUGGUGCAUGGUUGUCGUCAGCUCGUGUCGUGAGAUGUUGGGUUAAGUCCCGCAACGAGCGCAACCCUUAUUGUCAGUUGCCAGCAUUUAGUUGGGCACUCUGGCGAGACUGCCGGUGACAAACCGGAGGAAGGUGGGGAUGACGUCAAAUCAUCAUGCCCCUUAUGACCUGGGCUACACACGUGCUACAAUGGACGGUACAACGAGUCGCGAAACCGCGAGGUCAAGCUAAUCUCUGAAAGCCGUUCUCAGUUCGGAUUGCAGGCUGCAACUCGCCUGCAUGAAGUUGGAAUCGCUAGUAAUCGUGGAUCAGCAUGCCACGGUGAAUACGUUCCCGGGCCUUGUACACACCGCCCGUCACACCAUGAGAGUUUGUAACACCCAAAGCCGGUGAGGUAACCUUCGGGAACCAGCCGUCUAAGGUGGGACAGAUGAUUAGGGUGAAGUCGUAACAAGGUAGCCGUAGGAGAACCUGCGGCUGGAUCACCUCCUUUCUAA